GAACGGAAAGGCCCUGCUUGCAGGGUACUCGAGUGGCGAACGGGUGAGUAACACGUGGGUGAUCUGCCCUGCACUUCGGGAUAAGCUUGGGAAACUGGGUCUAAUACCGGAUAGGAACCAUCUUUAGUGUGGUGGUUGGAAAGUUUUUUCGGUGUAGGAUGAGCUCGCGGCCUAUCAGCUUGUUGGUGGGGUAAUGGCCUACCAAGGCGGCGACGGGUAGCCGGCCUGAGAGGGUGUACGGCCACAAUUGGGACUGAGAUACGGCCCAGACUCCUACGGGAGGCAGCAGUGGGGAAUAUUGCACAAUGGGCGCAAGCCUGAUUCAGCGACGCCGCGUGGGGGAUGAAGGCCUUCGGGUUGUAAACUCCUUUCGCUAGGGACGAAGCUUUUUGUGACGGUACCUAGAUAAGAAGCACCGGCUAACUACGUGCCAGCAGCCGCGGUAAUACGUAGGGUGCGAGCGUUGUCCGGAAUUACUGGGCGUAAAGGGCUCGUAGGUGGUUUGUCGCGUCGUCUGUGAAAUUCUGGGGCUUAACUCCGGGCGUGCAGGCGAUACGGGCAUAACUUGAGUGCUGUAGGGGUAACUGGAAUUCCUGGUGUAGCGGUGAAAUGCGCAGAUAUCAGGAGGAACACCGAUGGCGAAGGCAGGUUACUGGGC
rnacentral:rRNA from 1 species